UACGGAGGGGGCUAGCGUUGUUCGGAAUUACUGGGCGUAAAGCGUACGUAGGCGGCUUUGUAAGUUAGAGGUGAAAGCCCGGGGCUCAACCCCGGAAUUGCCUUUAAGACUGCAUCGCUUGAAUCGCGGAGAGGUGAGUGGAAUUCCGAGUGUAGAGGUGAAAUGCGCAGAUAUCAGGAGGAACACCUAUGGCGAAGGCAGCUCGCUGGGACGGUACUGACGCUGAGGCGCGAAAGCGCGGGGAGCGAACAGG
rnacentral:rRNA from 1 species